UACGGAGGGUGCGAGCGUUGUCCGGAAUCACUGGGCGUAAAGGGCGCGUAGGCGGCGCGGGCAGUCAACGGUGAAAGCUUGGGGCUCAACCCCGAGUCGGCCGUCGAUACUCCCGGGCUGGAGCACUGUAGAGGCAGGUGGAAUUCCUGGUGUAGCGGUGAAAUGCGUAGAUAUCAGGAGGAACACCGGUGGCGAAGGCGGCUCUCUGGACGGUGACUGACGCUGAGACGCGAAAGCGUGGGGAGCAAACAGG
rnacentral:rRNA from 1 species